GGAGAACACUGAAAUAGAUAUGGCUCCCUAGGCUACCCAGACCUUAAUAGCAAGAUUCUGUUUGCACAGUGAUCAGUUCUGUCCUCAUUUGCAUGUUUUACAACACGCAAGUAUGGAGAUGUCCACAUACACAGAUAUGGGCCUGAAAAGCAUGUCUGCACAAUUGUGUCUAUAAUUAAGAAAAAUACUCCCGAUCAUUUCACAGAUAUUCAUCAUAAGCAUUUUUCAGGAAGCCAUAACUCCAUGAACCUGAAGCUUUGACUGCUGACAAGAAGUUACUUGAAGAAAAAGUGUUAUGAAGAAGCAACCUUCUGCGUAGCAUUCCUGUCCCAGCUGCCAUCCCCCACCCAGCAUCUCCAUCUGCCCAGCUGUGCCAUGGGGCACGCACUCCAGCAGGCUCUGACCACGAAGUCCAGUGUGCUGCUGAGUUUCUCAUCAAACGCCCUGUGCUGCAUGGACACCUUCCUCCAGCUCCAAAGUGUUUGAUGCCUCUGUGAUACAAAGCAGAAGACUGUGGCUGCCAAUAAGAUCCUAAGAUUGCUUAGCACUGGGGGCCUUCAUUGACCAACUUGUCAAAAAAAAUCUUUUGUAACAGUUAAAAAAUAAAUAAAUUU
rnacentral:lncRNA from 1 species